CCCGUCCCAGGCCAGCAUCAGUUCGCGCCGGGGGACAAAGGCGGCGGGAACGUGGCUCCCCAGGGAGUGUUAUAGCCCGCCGCGCCAUGCCCCGGGGGCGGACUGAGGGCCGCGCAUCACUGCAAGGAUGCUGGCGUAAUGGUCACCAGCGACCCGUCUUGAAACACGGGCCAAGGAGUCGUCCUCGUAUGCGAGUGUUCGGGUGUCAAACCCCUACGCGGAAUGAAAGUGAACGUGGGUGAGAGCUUCGGCGCAUCAUCGACCGAUCCUGAUGUUCUCGGAUGGAUUUGAGUAGGAGCAUACGGGGCCGGACCCGAAAGAAGGUGAACUAUGCCUGUGUAGGGUGAAGCCAGAGGAAACUCUGGUGGAGGCUCGCAGCGGUUCUGACGUGCAAAUCGAUCGUCAAACAUGGGCAUGGGGGCGAAAGACUAAUCGAACCUUCUAGUAGCUGGUUUCCGCCGAAGUUUCCCUCAGGAAAU
rnacentral:rRNA from 1 species